UUGAAUUUCGAAAAAUUUUGGCCUAUAUAUUUUCUGUCUUGCAAUGUCAAGGGGGAAGGUACCAUUCAAGAAUUUGCGUUGAAUUAAUUAAAAUUACCGUCUGCCAACCAUGCCAGUGUACUACGGUGGCUUUCCAGGAGGGCCGCAAGGCGGAGGCUAUUGUCUGUACUCGUACCAGGCUUGCAACCCGGCGAUCGGCGGCUGUGGACCUUGUGGACCCCUCCCUGGACCCUGCUGUUCACUGUCGUGCUAAUCUUAUAACUCCAAAUCUUUGCGAAGAGGAAAUUUUAGUAGAAAACUUUGUUGUGUUUACAUCGUUUACAGUUUUUAGCUUGCUGUUCGGAUUAGUGACUGUGUUUUGUGUUAUGUGACCUUCCCGAUUAGUUAACUUCGUGAAUAAAAUACAUUUAAGAACA